GGGGGCGUUACGGAUUCGACAGGCAUAGUUGAGCUUGAAUUGCGCUUCGUAGGUUACGACUACGUAAAAACGUUACAGUUAAAUAUAACUGCUAAAAAUCAAAAUAACACUUUUGCUUUAGCUGCCUAAAAACAGUUAGCAAAGAUCCUCUCGGCAUCGCCCAUGUGCUCGAGUAAGGGUCUCAAACUAAGUGGGAUACAUUAACUUUUUCCGUCUGUAAAAGUUAAAAGAGCUCAUCAGACUAGCGAAGUUUAGGGCCUGUUAUACGGCAUGAAACAAAGCGAAUCUCUAAAUGGUAUAACUAUGAGCGUAGAAGUUUAAGUGGCAAUGUGUUUGGACGCGGGUUCGACUCCCGCCGCCUCCAUCG
rfam:Vagococcus fluvialis bH819 genome assembly, contig: Scaffold1